GAACUAGUACCGCGAGGGAAAGGUGAAAAGAACCCCUGUUAGGGGAGUGAAAUAGUACCUGCAACCGAUUGCAUACAAUGUGUGGGAGCCCGCAAGGGUGACCGCUUGCCUUUUGCAUAAUGAGUCUGCGAGUUAUUGUUUGUCGCCAGCCUAAGUCCCUCUGGGACGCAGGCGAAGGGAAACCGAGUACGAAAUGUGCGACUAGUGGCAGGCAAUAGACCCGAAGCGGAGGUGAUCUACUUUUGAGCAGGUUGAAGGCUGGGUAACACCAGGUGGAGG
rnacentral:rRNA from 1 species